rnacentral:rRNA from 1 species
AGUUCAUACUCGUGGCGAAUAGCUCAGUAACACGUGGCCAAACUACCCUUCGGAGCACGAUACCCUCGGGAAACUGAGGCUAAUAGUGCAUCCCACAAUCCAGCUGGAAUGAGGAUUGUGCCAAACGCUCCGGCGCCGAAGGAUGUGGCUGCGGCCGAUUAGGUAGACGGUGGGGUAACGGCCCACCGUGCCAAUAAUCGGUACGGGUCAUGAGAGUGAGAACCCGGAGACGGAAUCUGAGACAAGAUUCCGGGCCCUACGGGGCGCAGCAGGCGCGAAACCUUUACACUGCACGCCAGUGCGAUAAGGGAAUCCCAAGUGCGCAGGCAUAGAGCCUGCGCUUUUGUCCACCGUAGGGAGGUGGACGAAUAAGGGCUGGGCAAGACCGGUGCCAGCCGCCGCGGUAAUACCGGCAGCCCGAGUGAUGGCCGAUCUUAUUGGGCCUAAAGCGUCCGUAGCUGGCCGUACAAGUCCAUCGGAAAAUCCACCCGCUCAACGGGUGGGCGUCCGGUGGAAACUGUAUGGCUUGGGACCGGAAGGCGCGACGGGUACGUCCGGGGUAGGAGUGAAAUCCCGUAAUCCUGGACGGACCGCCGAUGGCGAAAGCACGUCGCGAGGACGGAUCCGACAGUGAGGGACGAAAGCCAGGGUCUCGAACCGGAUUAGAUACCCGGGUAGUCCUGGCCGUAAACAAUGUCUGUUAGGUGUGGCUCCCACUACGAGUGGGUGCUGUGCCGUAGGGAAGCCGCUAAACAGACCGCCUGGGAAGUACGUCCGCAAGGAUGAAACUUAAAGGAAUUGGCGGGGGAGCACUACAACCGGAGGAGCCUGCGGUUUAAUUGGACUCAACGCCGGACAUCUCACCAGCAUCGACUGUAAUAAUGACGAUCAGGUUGAUGACCUUAUCCGAGUUUCAAAGAGGAGGUGCA